ACUGGGAUGGCCAACAAAAGAUCCAACCCUAAAUGGAGGUUUAGCAGUGACGUGAAAUAAUGACAGAGUCAGAGAACAAAGAUUCCAGGAUCUCAGAAAUGAUAAGUUUGCAAAGGAAAAUGAAAAUGAUUAAACAACAUCCCCAAAUUUCUGGCAUUCAAUUAAAGUAGUCCUCAAGUGGGAAACAUAGACUUACUGUGAGAAAUAAAUGGCCAUUUGGUUUCCACAAUUAUGAAAAUUUAAUUGAAGAAAUAAAACAAAGUAAAAAAUUGAAACUCACAAUCCACCAAAGAAUAACAAAGGACAUCUUACCCCCAAAAAAUGUAAGCUCUGGGGCAGCUAGGUGGCACAGUGACCAGAACACCAGCCCUGAAGGGAGGAGGUCCUGAGUUCAAAUCUGCACUCAGACACAACACUUUCUAGCCCUGUGAACCUAGUCAAGUCAAUUAGCCCCAAUUGCCUCAGAAAAAAAAAGGAUACCCAGCUGUAAAUCACCUGAGCUUCUUGCCCAUCUUUAUGAUAGAUUAUGUUCUAUCACUCAGGAAAAUUGUGAGGUUGCUGAUUACGUUAUUUGGGGCUAUUGUUUCAAUAUUGAAACCUAGAAUUGUUAAGUAGUAUUGAGUUGUGGGUUAUGAUGUUGGCACAGAAAGGAACAGGAUAUUGGGCCCAGAGAGCAGAGUGAGAUGUUGGGUGGGCACUCAAUGAGGUUAAAGUACCCAAAUGAUGUGGGUGAUGUAGAAGUUCCUGAGUGGAACUUGCCCUUUGCCAAGAGAAAGAAAACCCCCCAUGAGGCUGGGGCAUGCCCUUAGCUUGCAGGCUUAAUCCUGAAAGGGACUUAGCACCCUGAAAGCUAGUCAGCCAUACAGAGAAUGGGAAGCAUGGUGGAGUUAGGAGAGAUAGCGCCUGGUAUGGGAGAAGGAGAAGUGGAAAGCCACACAGAGCAGCGGGCUUUGGCAGACUGACUCAAAUGAAGGCAGCAGCCAUGGGGAGGCCCAUGAGUAGAUUUUAUUGGGAAAAGGAAACCUGGACAUGACUGGGGUUCCUGACAGGACAGGGCAAGGUGGGACUGUGCAAGGUCUCUACAGAGGGAGGGUCUCAGGGCUUUGACGCACCUUGGAUCUCAGACUGACCACCUCCCCCAAGGAUGGGACUAGAGAGCUACAGGAAUCUCUACCAGGGCUUUUUCCCUACUUGUCUCAGGGAUUCUAAAUUAGGUUUGUACGGGCAGGGGAAGUGGACUCAGCCCCUGUUCUGGGGUCCAUUGCCCUCGUUUGUGCACUUGUCUGGUUUGGAAAAAGCUUGGUUCUGGCUGUAGAGUUCCAGGCUCUUCACCUUGACGUUUAUAGCUCUUUGAUUGGGAUUUUUGGUGGUUAAUCUGAAAUUUGGGACAGAAAACUGCCCACCAGUCAUUUGUAUUGGCUUAGGAAGGUAAAGGCUUAGUCCCCCCUUCCCCCACUGGGUGUGGCUGCUCCUUAGAAGUGAGAAAACAAACCCUCUCACUGGAGCUCACCCCCCAAGCUUCUCUGUCUCCCUUGAUGGUUAAAUGAACUUCCUUUCACUGUACUUGCUUCUGUUAUUUAACGAAAUAGCUUAUGGUUAUACGGUGCUAAUAACUGAGUGUUUGCCUUUCUCUUCCACGUCCCGGGCUGUUUAAGGCUCCGUCACUGGGGACGCUGUGUCCGAGGUUCUACUGCUGAGCCAGGCCAGGAACUUGCAGGAAGUUUGUUCGGUUUCCGGCUAACCCCAAGUUCUCAGAAACCUGUCCCUUCCCCAGCAUGUAAGAAGGGCGGCAGGGUCUCCUUGGGGAGCAGAAUGACAGGAAAUGGGACCCGGAGCUUUCUGAAGCCCCCGGAGCAGGGUUUCGGCCUGACAAGCCGGCAUCGGAUGCGGGCCGGGCUCUGCAGGGCCGGGGGACAGAGAGUUUAGGAGGCUCGGUUUAAUGAGAUUAUAGACAGUAAAAUGGCGUUUUUGUAUUUCUCCUGGGCAUUGCUUAUCAUGGGCCGUGAGCUGUUAACUGAACACCAACCCUCACAAUUAUGGCCGCCUUCCUCAGGCAACCAGGGAGGAGCUUUGUAAUCAGUGUCCAGGAAUCUCCCAAUACCUCCCAAUGGAACUGGGCCCUUCUGUGCAUUUACAUCUAGUCCUCCCACGGGCUUCCCGGUCUGCAAAGAUCUGAGAGAUAAGAAAUCCUUUCUUGAGCUACAACCUCUGAAAAGACAGGGGAGAAAGAUCUAGAAAAGCGUCCUAAUAUUUCAGGAUAACACAGUAAUAACAACACCACAACCCACAGGACAAGCACCAAGCACCGUGAAGAAGUCUUAUCAAACCAAUGUGUGUUUUUUUCAGCAGUUUUAUCUGAAUUUAAAUCUUCAUGGGAAACCUUCUCUGUGUCAGAUUUUAGACAUAGAGACAGAGAGAUAAACCUUGGUAAGGAGAAAUACUUGAAUUGUAGAGGAAAUAGAAGCCACAGAUUUAAGGAGGCUGAAAAAAGACAAAAAUGAACAUAGUAGCAUAGUCUUUAGUAAACCUAUACACUGCAGCUACUGGAGUAAGGACAAAACUGAUAGAAAAAAAUUAGAAAAUUGUCUGGCAGAAAUUAAUUAUCAUUGUAUGAAGGCAAAAUUCAAACAGAGGAAUUAGAUAAAAAUGAUCACAUUUUAAAUAAAUUAAAGAAAUAAAGAAAAAAUUGCAUUUUGAAACAACGGAUAGGGAGAAAAUUCAUGACCAAUCAAGAAAUAAAGAAUAUAACAAAGAGACAAAAUGGGAAAUUUUGAUUAUAUAAAAUCAGGUUUUGCAUAGAGAGAACAAGUAUUGUUAAAAUUAGAAGAAAAAGAGUUAACUGGGAAUAGUACCAGGUGAUCAGUUAAUAAAAUAAUGACACUAUAAAAAUAAACAAAAAAAUUGAAAAAUUUAAGAAUUAUGAUUAUCACAAUGACCAGCCACAACUCCAGAAAACUGAUGAUGAAUCAUGUAACUGAUUUCAUGUUAUAUACCACAUUCAAUAUAUAGAAUAAGACAUUCAUUUUUAUACAUGGUUAGUGUGAGAAGUUAUUUUGUUUUAUUUUGUACAUUUGUUACAAAAUUUUCUUUUUUUGCUUUUUCAGUUUCUUAUGCUUGGGAGAAGCACUAGAGAUGUUACUACAAAAAAAAAUUGAAAAAAAUUUUUAAUGCAUAAAAGAAAAUAGAGAAUAAAUGCCAGAAAUAAUUACAUGGAAGCAAAGCAAUUUUGCAAGUUUCAUAUUAAAUUUGUUAUGUUUAAAAAGAAAAGCAUUUAGGGCAGAUAGGUGGCACAGUGGAUAGAGCACCAGCUGUGAAGUCAGGAAGACCUGAGUUCAAAUGUGGCUUCAAAUUCUUAACACUUCCUAGCUGUGUGACCUUGGGCAAAUCACUUGAACCCAACUGCCUCAGCAAAAAAAAAAAAAAAGAAAGAAAGAAAGAAUGAAAAGAUGGAAGGAAGAAGAAAAGGAAGGAAGGAAAGAAAGAAAGAAAGAGAAAAAGAAAAAAACAAUGUAUACAUUGUAGAGACUUAAAGUUUCAUUAUUUUUUUUCUAUUCUCUGUAUUUGGAAAUUCUUAUUUAUUUUUGUUAUAUUCAUAAUACAAAUAAUUUUAACUUUAGAAAAGAAAACUGAAAAAUUGGGAAA